rnacentral:rRNA from 1 species
UCGAGGGGCAGCAUAAUGGAUAGCAAUAUCUAUGGUGGCGACCGGCGCACGGGUGCGUAACGCGUAUGCAACCUACCUUUAACAGGGGGAUAACACUGAGAAAUUGGUACUAAUACCCCAUAAUAUCAUAGAAGGCAUCUUUUAUGGUUGAAAAUUCCGAUGGUUAGAGAUGGGCAUGCGUUGUAUUAGCUAGUUGGUGGGGUAACGGCUCACCAAGGCGACGAUACAUAGGGGGACUGAGAGGUUAACCCCCCACACUGGUACUGAGACACGGACCAGACUCCUACGGGAGGCAGCAGUGAGGAAUAUUGGUCAAUGGACGCAAGUCUGAACCAGCCAUGCCGCGUGCAGGAUGACGGCUCUAUGAGUUGUAAACUGCUUUUGUACGAGGGUAAACGCAGAUACGUGUAUCUGUCUGAAAGUAUCGUACGAAUAAGGAUCGGCUAACUCCGUGCCAGCAGCCGCGGUAAUACGGAGGAUUCAAGCGUUAUCCGGAUUUAUUGGGUUUAAAGGGUGCGUAGGCGGUUUGAUAAGUUAGAGGUGAAAUUUCGGGGCUCAACCCUGAACGUGCCUCUAAUACUGUUGAGCUAGAGAGUAGUUGCGGUAGGCGGAAUGUAUGGUGUAGCGGUGAAAUGCUUAGAGAUCAUACAGAACGCCGAUUGCGAAGGCAGCUUACCAAACUAUAUCUGACGUUGAGGCACGAAAGCGUGGGGAGCAAACAGGAUUAGAUACCCUGGUAGUCCACGCAGUAAACGAUGAUAACUCGUUGUCGGCGAUACACAGUCGGUGACUAAGCGAAAGCGAUA